GACGAACGCUGGCGGCGUGCUUAACACAUGCAAGUCGAGCGGAAAGGCUCCUUCGGGGGUACUCGAGCGGCGAACGGGUGAGUAACACGUGAGUAAUCUGCCCUGUGCUCUGGGAUAGCCACCGGAAACGGUGAUUAAUACCGGAUACAACCACUAUCCGCAUGGGUUGGUGGUGGAAAGUUUUUUCGGCACAGGAUGUGCUCGCGGCCUAUCAGCUUGUUGGUGAGGUAAUGGCUCACCAAGGCUUUGACGGGUAGCCGGCCUGAGAGGGUGGCCGGUCACACUGGGACUGAGACACGGCCCAGACUGCUACGGGAGGCAGCAGUGGGGAAUAUUGGACAAUGGGCGGAAGCCUGAUCCAGCAACGCCGCGUGAGGGAUGACGGCCUUCGGGUUGUAAACCUCUUUCAGUACCGACGAAGCGCAAGUGACGGUAGGUACAGAAGAAGGACCGGCCAACUACGUGCCAGCAGCCGCGGUAAUAC
rnacentral:rRNA from 1 species